AACUCAAACAGCAAUAUAAGCCCCGCAUACGCGAAAUAAGCGGACAUGGCAACAUUAGAGCGGGUGCACGCGCCGUGGUCUUGCGCGUACACAGGCGUAAACACAUUUGCGAAGAGUCUUGGUGCCGCUAUGGAAAAGGCUCGAUCUCCCCUAGUCUUGAGCCUCGAUCUAGGAGCCACUAAGAGCCUCAAGUUGGCAGACCUAGCUCUUGUAGGUUGAUGGAUCACCAAUAAAUCAGAAAGGUAGCCAAUGGAGUGACUGGAGGACAGAAGUUAUAUGCUCCCAUUUGAGAUCUCCUGUCAGGGCUCUGGCAGCAUUAUUCUGAACCAUCUGAAGGUGAUUUAUGGAAGACUGACUCAUCCCCAAAUAAAGAGAAUUUCAAUAAUCAAGCCUUGUAGUAAUAAAAACAUGUAUUACUCUUUCAUAAUUUGUAAAUGAAUACAUUAUAAAUUAAAUAUAUAAAUCCAUUUCAAUUUCUGUUACCACUCCAGUCAUCAGCAGUCCUGGUG